rnacentral:lncRNA from 1 species
CACACACCUCCUCCCCAUAGGCCUCAUCACACACCUCCUCCCCAUAGGCCUCAUCACACACCUCCUCCCCAUAGGCCUCAUCACACACCUCCUCUCCAUAGGCCUCAUCACACACCUCCUCUCCAUAGGCCUCAUCACACACCUCCUCCCCAUAGGCCUCAUCACACACCUCCUCUCCAUAGGCCUCAUCACACACCUCCUCUCCAUAGGUCUCAUCACACACCUCCUCCCCAUAGGCCUCAUCACACACCUCCUCUCCAUAGGCCUCAUCACACACCUCCUCCCCAUAGGUCUCAUCACACACCUCCUCCCCAUAGGCC